GCCCGGGUGGUGAAAUUGGUAGACACAACGGACUUAAAAUCCGUCGGGGAGAAAUCUUCGUACCGGUUCGAUUCCGGUCCCGGGCA
rnacentral:tRNA from 1 species